rnacentral:tRNA from 1 species
UAGCCUUGUGGAUAAGGCUUCGGAUCGCUAAUCCGGAGAUGGCGGGAUCGAUUCCCGC